AUUGAACGCUGGCGGCAUGCUUUACACAUGCAAGUCGAACGGUAACAGGCCGCAUGCUGCUGACGUGUGGCGCACGGGUGUGUAAUGUACCUAAACGUCCCCCGUCGUGUGGGGUAUCUCCUCCAAAGAGUAGCUCAUACCCCGUACGCUCUCUGUUUGAGAGCGGGGGACCGCAUGGCAUCGCUCGAUUGGAGCUGCCGAUAUCGGAUUAGGUAGUUGGUGGGGUAAAGGCUCACCAAGGCAACGAUCUGUAACUGGUCUGAGAGGACGACCAGCCACACUGGGACUGAGACACGGCCCAGACUCCUACGGGAGGCAGCAGUGGGGAAUAUUGGACAAUGGGCGAAAGCCUGAUCCAGCAAUGCCGCGUGCAGGAAGAAGGUCUUCGGAUUGUAAAGUGCUUUAGGACGGAAGGAAGCGGAGCUGGUUAAUACCCGGGGAUAAUGACGGUACCGGAAGAAUAAGCACCGGCUAACUACGUG
rnacentral:rRNA from 1 species